UACAGAGGUCCCAAGCGUUGUUCGGAUUCACUGGGCGUAAAGGGUGCGUAGGUGGUGAGGUAAGUCGGAUGUGAAAUCUCCAAGCUCAACUUUGGAAACUGCAUUGGAAACUACCUUGCUAGAGGAUUUGAGGGGGGAUUGGAAUACUUGGUGUAGCAGUGAAAUGCGUAGAUAUCAAGUGGAACACCAGUGGCGAAGGCGAGUCCCUGGACAACACCUGACACUGAGGCACGAAAGCUAGGGGAGCAAACAGG
rnacentral:rRNA from 1 species